rnacentral:rRNA from 1 species
AGCUCCAAUAGCGUAUAUUAAAGUUGCUGCAGUUAAAAAGCUCGUAGUUGCAUUUCCGAGGCAAGGGAUUAGUCCGACCUUUGGUGGGUAUUUAAUCCUCUUGCCUCGUCCUUGAGUGGUGCUUCUUGGUAUUAAGUUAUCGAGGAGAUAGCCGCUCAUCGUUUACUGUGAGAAAAUUAGAGUGUUCAAAGCAGGCUUAUGCCGUUGAAUAUAUUAGUAUGGAAUAAUAAGAUAGGACCUCGGUACUAUUUUGUUGGUUUGAGAACCAAGGUAAUGAUGAAUAGGGACAGUUGGGAGUAUUCGUAUUCAGUUGUCAGAGGUGAAAUUCUUAGAUUUACGGAAGACGAACUACUGCGAAAGCAUUUACCAAGGAUGUUUUCA